GAGGGGGAAAGCAAGGAGCUGGGGGAAGCAGACUGCAGGGAGACAGCGCCUGGAACCCCCUCCCCAGGGACCUGGCCCUGGGCCCCCAGCCCCAAAAGGGGCCCUGCCCUCCCCGGGGUCGCGCUCUCUUCCCCCCGCCCUGCCCCCGCCCUUCAGCUUUGUGUCCCCAGGAGGGUGGGCUGCAGGAUUUCCAGCCAAGCCUUGGCUGCCUGCUCAGUUUUUCCAAACCCUCCAGUCGGAGAAGGCGGGAGCCUUGUCAGGAUAAGAGUCCCUCCCCCCUCUGCCCCUGCCGGCCCCCUGGUCCAGCUUGGAGUUUCCUGUCCCCGCAGCUUUCCAAACUCCUUUCCCUUUCCGACCCUGGCCCCAGCGCCCCCUAGCCCCACCUCUGUUGGUUCCCAAGUUCCAAGUUCAGGUUGGAGGGGCCAGGUCGACUCCACAAUCCUAGCGAGGCGCUGGUAAAGCCUCACUCUGCCCGCCGACCCAGAGACUUGCGGGGCGCCGGCCUGACUCCCGGCCUGGGCCCGCCCAGUCCCAGGACUCGGCUUCUGGCCACCAGGGAAGGUGGCUCUUGGGGUCUCCCGCUCCCGGAAGGAGGCGGUGCCGGGGACGUCGGCACAGCUGGGCGGUAAGAUAGAAACUCAUAUUUGCUCAGUUGGAGCUCGGGUUCCAUAUGAAGCUGAAGCUGCUCUUGAACUGAUCCUCCGGCCUUCCCUUCCUGUCAUGAUGAGCCCUUCAUUCAGGGCUUAUACCCCUGCCCCUCAUCUGGACCUCCCCGAUCUUGCCCAGUGCCCAGCUCCUGGGCCAUCCACCCAGAAGCAUUCACUGAAGCCCUCCUGUGAACCUGGCCAGCACCUGAGACAGUCAUGCAAGGAACACAGAGACUGGAAGUUAUGAUCUGAGUCCUCAGGAAUCUCAUGCCAGCCAGAUGUACAGACAGGAGGAACGACACAUAUGGGAGUCAGUACUCUGGUGGGUGGCACUGAUGUGACAGGUGAUGGGGAACAGAAGACACAGGUUGCUACUGUUCUUUGUGAAGCAGUCAGCGCUCGCUCGGCACUGGUUGAUUUCAUUGGAGGUGAGGGGGCAGUGAGAUAGAAGGAAAAUGGCCUGGGAGAAGAAGCCUUGAGUUCUAGUCCCAGGUUCACAAUUCUAGUUGUGUAACUUGGUAAUUCCUUAAGUCACACAAGCCUCACUUUUCUCAUUUACCCCUUCCUUGUAAAUUCGUGGUGGUAACCAUUGAGAUAAUAUAGGCAAUGCUUUAAAAAA
ensembl:lincRNA C030014I23Rik RIKEN cDNA C030014I23 gene